GAUCAUGGCUCAGAUUGAACGCUGGCGGCAGGCCUAACACAUGCAAGUCGAGCGGUAACAGAUCCAGCUUGCUGGAUGCUGACGAGCGGCGGACGGGUGAGUAAUGCAUAGGAAUCUGCCCGAUAGUGGGGGAUAACCUGGGGAAACCCAGGCUAAUACCGCAUACGUCCUACGGGAGAAAGGGGGCUCCGGCCCCCGUUAUGGGAUGAGCCUAUGUCGGAUUAGCUAGUUGGUGAGG
rnacentral:rRNA from 1 species